rnacentral:lncRNA from 10 species
CUUGGGAGCCAUCCUGAACAAGACCCACCCAGUGUGCUGGACCAGUCAAAGAAUCGUGCGUCAAAACCGAGAAAACGAACAAGACUUCAUCGCCAUGGCACAUUUAUAUAAAAAGAAAGGGAGAGAUGUUGUGGGAAGUCAGGGACCCCGAAAGGAGGGACCGGCUAGAGCCGCAGCAGAGGAACAUAAAUGGUGAAGAUUUCAUGGAUAUUUAUCAGUUCCCAAAUAAUACUGUUGUGAUUUCUUAUGCCUGUCUUUACUUUAAUCUCUUAAUCCUGUUAUCUUCGUAAGCUGAGGAUGUACGUCACCUCAGGACCACUGUGAUAAUUGUGUUAACUGUACAAAUUGAUUGUAAAACAUGUGUUUGAACAAUAUGAAAUCAGUGCACCUUGAAAAAGAAUAGAAUAACAGCGAUUUUUGGGGAACAAGGGAAGACAACCAUAAGGUCUGACUGCCUGUGGGGUCAGGCGAACAGAGCCAUAUUUUUCUUCUUGCAGAGAGCCUAUAAACGGAUGUGCAAGUAAGAGAGAUAUCACUAAAUUCUUUUCCUAGCAAGGAAUAUUAAUAUUAAUACCCUGGGAAAGGAAUGCAUUCCUGGGGGGAGGUCUAUAAACAACUGCUCUGGGAAUGUCUGUCUUAUGCAGUUGAGAUAAGGACUGAGAUACACCCUGGUCUCCUGCAGUACCCUCAGGCUUACUAGGGUGGGGAAAAACUCUGCCCUGGUAAAUUUGUGGUCAGACUGGUUGUCUGCUCUUGAACCCUGUUUUCUGUUGUUUAAGAUGUUUAUCAAGACAAUAUGUGCACCAGUGAACAUAGACCCUUAUCAUUAGUUCUGCUUUUGCCCUUUGCCUUGUGAUCUUUGUUGGACCCUUAUCAGUAGUUCUGCUUUUUCCCUUUGUCCUGUUCCCUCAGAAGCAUGUCAUCUUUGUUAGACCCUUAUUAGUAGUUCUGCUUUUUGCCUUUUGAAGCAUGUGAUCUUUGUACCUACUCCCUGUUUUACACCCCCUCCCCUUUUGAAACCCUUAAUAAAAACUUGCUGGUUUGAGGCUCAGGUGGGCAUCACGGUCCUACUGAUAUGUCACGUCACCCCUGGCGGCCCAGCUGUAAAAUUCCUCUCUUUGUACUCUUUCUCUUUAUUUCUCAGCCGGCUGAAACUUAUGGAAAAUAGAAACAGCCUAUGUUGAAAUAUUGGGGGUGGGUUUCCCUGAUAAUUUGUCCCCAAGUGACACCCUGUGAGCCAGCCCUGGGUGGUACAAGGACUCCUGUGGGAGCCACAGGAGCAGGUGCAGCCCCAGGCUGCUGGUGCUCUCAGAACUGCACAAACACUGCUUUCUGAGAAACCAGUACAAGUACUUUCUAGUGAGCGGGGAGGGCAUCUCCCAAACCGGCUAUGACCUAGUCACCUGAGGUGCCUAAAAGUCUCUCUCAUCUGUGCCUCACUCCAGCUUUGGAAGUGGGACCUCCUUGUCUAAGCCACUCUUCCGGAGUGAGCUGCACAGCCCAAGGGACAGAUUUCACACCAGCACCUUAUGCUAGCCCAGAGAGACAGAUGUCACUCACUGCAACACAGCAGAGGUGCAGACUAAGUGGCAGCCAGGGGCCAUGAGAGGGAACAUGGUGGAGGGGGACAAACAGGGCCCUCCUGGCCAGUGAGCCCUGGGCUUGGAUCCAGUUAAAUCACCUCUGAGCCUUAAUUUCCUCACUCACA